UCCAGACUCCAGACGUGGCUUUGGACCUAUUUCUUCUGCACCAUUUGUUCAGCCCUAAAAAUCUGAAACAACUCAUUGAUUGAUUAUAAUAUUCUCUUGUCAAAAUUGUCGACCAGAGCCGAUGUUAUGUUCCUUGGACCCCUCUUAAGUUUGACCUCACUCCUGAUUUUGCCUGUGGCGACUUUUCUAUCACAUGGAACCAUUCAAUUUGCUGUUGCCAUUUCAUACUCCCCAUUCAUUCGUCUACACGUCCUAUAUAAAGCAUUCCAUGGGAUCUCAAGAACACAGCUGAGAGGCCAGACAUAUUACAACAAUCAUUUUAUCUGUUGAUUGUUUCUGAAUCUUCAUGUCCAUGGCUUUCUUGAAUUUCAUGAAUUGCUUCAGGGAGUCGUCAGAAGAGUCCAGGCGAUUUGUAUGUAAUGGUGAUGUUUGUAUCUUGCGUGAUCCCAAGGCUUCAUCAUCAUCUUCCCCGGGCCUCUAUCUGAAGAACAAGAAGCGACAAGAAGUCCCUCGUGGACGAGCUCGAGCUUCUGUUGCCCGAUUUUCUUUUCGAAAAGAAAAGCACGAUUAGCUCAGCGUAAUGGUAUUGAUCUUUCUUCAUGUAAAAUUUUCAAUAAUGGCUCCUCACAAGCCUCCAGUAUUACUUUUUGUAUAGAACAGAACACCACCACCACAAGAAAAGAGAGAAGCUUUUUUUUUCCGUAGGUUUUUUCAAGAGCUUCUUACAAGAAACAAUCUGAAUAUGUAUUGCUAAUGCAGUAAUGCUUUGUUGCAACAAGGAUUCGUGCUGUCAUUUUCAGGACCGGGGAUCUGAUUGGAUUACCCCAGUCCUGUAAUUUCGUCCGUAAUAUUUUGUCUGGCUUUAAACCCUUUAGCGCGUAUAGCCUUUCGGCUUGGAUUCAUUGGAUGGCUAUUGAGAAGACUCUUUUUUUUUUUUUUUCGCAACGGUAGAAUUUUUAUAAUCUAAUCUAGUUUAAUCUAGAGGAAGGAGAUUCGAUGUAAGUUUCGCAACAGUAGAAUUUUUAUAAUCUAAUCUAGUUUAAUAUAGAGGAGGGAGAUUCGAUGUAAGUAGAAACUGAGGACCAAUGUGAGGAGACUCGUCCGAGGAGAAUGUUAGAUUGCGAAGGCAUUUAGAUGUCAAGCAAGAAUACAACAACAGCUCCUCUGACCAUUGAGCUAUUCCCGAUUUUUUUGAUGUAGAAAUGAAAUCGUUCCCUUGACUCUGUUAAAGCGAUCUCUUCUUUUCUCGUCCAUCCAUGCAGAUUAAUGUCUGAUUUAUGUCAUUAUUGAUCAAGAGUGCAUGGAAAUUAAAAUGACAUCACAAUCGGUGGCGGGUAAGAGAACCAAGGAAAGAACACACAUAUUAGACUUCAAAAUAGUGCGACUAAAAAAGAUCCUAAGAGAUUCCUAACAAUUAUAAUCAUCACGAAAUGACGCACUAAUAAAGAUGAAGUGCAAGUGCAAGAAUAAAUAGCUCUUUUUCAUUCCCCAAGGGUGAUUGUUUGCGAUGUACACAGCCAAACAGCCAACUCCGCAGAGGAUAAAGGUAUGCUACCACAAAAUAAUCAUGAUGCCCAAAUCACAAUAAUAACAGUAGUAAUCUUCCUUGAAGAAAGCCUGUACCAAAUUUACAAGAAACGACCUCAU
rnacentral:lncRNA from 1 species